rnacentral:tRNA from 1 species
UCUUUGACUUUCUUUCGCAUUACUUAUUUUUUUAUUAACGACUGUAAUAAACAAUUUCUAAAUCGAAAUGAUG